CGAGGGGAGUGAAAAAGAACCUGAAACCGUGUACGUACAAGCAGUGGGAGCACGCUUAGGCGUGUGACUGCGUACCUUUUGUAUAAUGGGUCAGCGACUUAUAUUCUGUAGCAAGGUUAACCGAAUAGGGGAGCCGAAGGGAAACCGAGUCUUAACUGGGCGUUAAGUUGCAGGGUAUAGACCCGAAACCCGGUGAUCUAGCCAUGGGCAGGUUGAAGGUUGGGUAACACUAACUGGAGGACCGAACCGACUAAUGUUGAAAAAUUAGCGGAUGACUUGUGGCUGGGGGUGAAAGGCCAAUCAAACCGGGAGAUAGCUGGUUCUCCCCGAAAGCUAUUUAGGUAGCGCCUCGUGAAUUCAUCUCCGGGGGUAGAGCACUGUUUCGGCAAGGGGGUCAUCCCGACUUACCAACCCGAUGCAAACUGCGAAUACCGGAGAAUGUUAUCACGGGAGACACACGGCGGGUGCUAACGUCCGUCGUGAAGAGGGAAACAACCCAGACCGCCAGCUAAGGUCCCAAAGUCAUGGUUAAGUGGGAAACGAUGUGGGAAGGCCCAGACAGCCAGGAUGUUGGCUUAGAAGCAGCCAUCAUUUAAAGAAAGCGUAAUAGCUCACUGGUCGAGUCGGCCUGCGCGGAAGAUGUAACGGGGCUAAACCAUGCACCGAAGCUGCGGCAGCGACGCUGAUGCGUUGUUGGGUAGGGGAGCGUUCUGUAAGCCUGCGAAGGUGUGCUGUGAGGCAUGCUGGAGGUAUCAGAAGUGCGAAUGCUGACAUAAGUAACGAUAAAGCGGGUGAAAAGCCCGCUCGCCGGAAGACCAAGGGUUCCUGUCCAACGUUAAUCGGGGCAGGGUGAGUCGACCCCUAAGGCGAGGCCGAAAGGCGUAGUCGAUGGGAAACAGGUUAAUAUUCCUGUACUUGGUGUUACUGCGAAGGGGGGACGGAGAAGGCUAUGUUGGCCGGGCGACGGUUGUCCCGGUUUAAGCGU
rnacentral:rRNA from 1 species